rnacentral:rRNA from 1 species
GACGAACGCUGGCGGCGUGCUUAACACAUGCAAGUCGAACGGUGAAGCUCCAGCUUGCUGGAGUGGAUCAGUGGCGAACGGGUGAGUAACACGUGAGCAACCUGCCCCUGACUCUGGAAUAAGCGCUGGAAACGGCGUCUAAUACUGGAUACGAGAAGGGUCCGCAUGGGCACUUUCUGGAAAGUUUUUCGGUUGGGGAUGGGCUCGCGGCCUAUCAGCUUGUUGGUGAGGUAGUGGCUCACCAAGGCGACGACGGGUAGCCGGCCUGAGAGGGCGACCGGCCACACUGGGACUGAGACACGGCCCAGACUCCUACGGGAGGCAGCAGUGGGGAAUAUUGCACAAUGGGCGAAAGCCUGAUGCAGCGACGCCGCGUGAGGGAUGACGGCCUUCGGGUUGUAAACCUCUUUCAGCAGGGAAGAAGCGAAAGUGACGGUACCUGCAGAAGAAGCACCGGCUAACUACGUG